rnacentral:rRNA from 1 species
CAGUCGCCACGGUAAUACGAAGGGGGCUAGCGUUGUUCGGAUUUACUGGGCGUAAAGGGCGCGUAGGCGGACUGAUAAGUCAGGGGUGAAAUCCCAAGGCUCAACCUUGGAACUGCCUUUGAUACUGUUUGUCUUGAGUUCGAGAGAGGUAAGUGGGACUGCGAGUGUAGAGGUGAAAUUCGUAGAUAUUCGCAAGAACACCAGUGGCGAAGGCGGCUUACUGGCUCGAUACUGACGCUGAGGCGCAAAAGCGUGGGGAGCAAACAGGAUUAGAGACCCGCGUAGUCCCUGUCUCUUAUAC